AAAUAGUGCAAAUUAAAUCACAAUAUCUUAAUUUAUAAUCCCAACAUUGCUUCCCAUGGGAAUCUUAACUCCAAAAAGUUACUUUUUACUGGCAGUAUUAACAUUUAAAGCUAGGGAAAAGCAAAAAGCUAUGCAAUUAUUUAAGAUAAGAUAAUUUUGUAAUAUUUGGUAACAUUUUCUAAAUAUUCAUUCAUCAAUAAAUAAGCCACUUACAAAAGUCAAAUGUGAGUGUUUAAAACAAAAGAAACACCAUAUGCCUGUUACAGACUCUGGGCAUCAUAUAAAUGGGCCACAUGGAAGUUGAGCAUGUUCCCAUAUAAUAAUACAAAGUUAUCCCAAUAACUGUUUUAGUCAAACAGUUAUUAUUCAGAAUAAAUCAUAUAUAAUUAAAUAAGCAUCUCUGGGGCCAAUUGGGUUAUUAUUUCUUAUUUGUUGACGUCAGUUGUGAUGAUUUAAACAUAACCCUUUGGAUGUUUUAAUCAAACUUUGUUGAUAAACAUUUGAAUGUAAUGUGUCUCAGACACAGGUGAGUGAAUAUGUAAACAUAGCAUUCUAACCGGCAACAUGACCGUAGUUUAUUUAUAAUAAUGUGUAGUCAAAUAGAUUUCACACUGUUGUCUCCAGCAUUGUCUAUUGCUGCCCUUAGUCUUUUGGAUACUUUUGCAAGGAAAACUAUGUGGGAGCAGAGCACAUCUUUGUUUUAGUGACUGGAAAUGCACUUUAGUGUACACUUGGUUUUAGUUAAAGUUAAAGCCUUUUAUUGUCAUUAUACAAAAAAUACAACGAGAUUCAGAGUGCAACUCUGUCCCAGUGUGCAAAAGCCGCCGACGGUUUUCUCUGCCAUCCUAAUCACUCUCUGCAGGGCUUUCUUGUCCGCAGCUGAACAUCCAGCAUACCACACAGAGAUGGAGAAUGACAGCACGCUCUCGAUGGUCGCCCGGUAGAAGGACACCAGCAGCUUCUUGUUCAGUCUGUUCCUCCGAAGCACCCUCAUGAAGUGCAGUCGCUGCUGGGCCUUUUUAACUGCUGCAGUGGUGUGUACAGCUGAGGCUCUCCGAAAUUUGAACCCCCAGGAACUUAAAGAGACAACUCCCCAGAAGAAGAAAUAACCUGCAGUUACGGGGAUGCUGACUGGCCUUUGCGCAAACAGUUCCAGGUGACAAACGGGCAUACUAAUCCAGAGGGAGUUGAGGAGGAGAGGCUCCCCUUAGACUUGACUUUCCCCGAAACAUCAACAAGUGACUGUGCUACGACCGAGUUCCAGGUGACAAACGGGCAUACUAAUCCAGAGGGAGUUGAGGAGGAGAGGCUCCCCUUAGACUUGACUUUCCCCGAGACAUCAACAAGUGACUGUGCUACGACCGAGUUCCAGGUGACAAACGGGCAGACUAAUCCAGGGAGGGAGUUGAGGACGAGACGCUCUCCUUGGAACUUUAUGUCUACAUAAGCAUCAAACAGUGACUGUGCUACUACCGAGGGAAACAAACGUUUGUGAAACGCAGCUGGACGUCAGCAGAAAGUGCUGCUGUGGAACAACACUUGGGUUAUGAAAUGGACAAUCAAGAACCAGGUUCCAGGGAAAGAUGCAUGUGAGGAUUGUAUCCCUGCCGAACCUCAAGCCCUAACAAAUAGGGACUGGGGAGCCGUUAAGUAUUACAUGAACAUUUCAAUUUCUUCUCUCCGAAUGUAAAUGAAAUAAAAUUGAACCAAGGAAAAAUACGUUCAAUGUUGAAAGAAGGGUUUCAAGUACCACUACCAAAACUAGGGGUUUUACCUAAACCAAACCAAAUUUUCAUUUUUGAAUCGUCAACUAAUAUAAAUUAAAGGGAAAUCAAUUGCAUUCCGAUUAUGCUGCUAGAAAGAAUCAUCCAUGUUUUUAAAGAUUUCCUUUUUUGCUUUUAGGGUUUUCCCUCUCCUGUAGUGUAGAAAAUAUCUUUUUGUGCAUGUAAAUGUUUUUCAAAGUCUAAAAUCCCUCAUUGAAGCAUGGAAACAUUUCACAGGAGAGAAACUUUAUACAAAUUUGAACCUCAAAAUGACCAGAAUAUGUCAUUGUUAAAUGUAACUCAAAAGGAGGUAAAAGUCUACUGAUUUGUUAGGCCUGUUUGUUUUGUUUUUUGGGUCAUGGGAUUGGUCAAGUUGUACAUUUUGUUUUAACGAUAUAGAAACACCCCAAUAAUAUACAAAUCAAUAUUUAUAGCAUUAAAAUAAUGUUGUAGAGAGUUUAUAUGAAUUAUACUUUUUUCUCAAGAAUUACUAAUUGUUGCCUCUAAGAAAAAACAAUGUUGAACGAAAAGGAUCUUUAGGGGAUUAUUGAUUUGGUCUCCAUGGUGUUUCAAUGUUACUGCCAUGUCUACUGUCUAGUUAUAUUCUAUGUUAAGAUGAGGCUAAUCACCUAAGUAAUGACUUAUUUUACCAGCAAUGUGAAUUUGUUGGUGUAAAAAAUAUCAGAGUAGAAUGUAAAUGUUCAUGAUGCUGUUCUGCAGUUUCUUUGGUAACAAGGAAAGUCCAUUCAACUCAAUAAUGUCUCUAGUAACUCUGAUCCCUUCCAAGAUAUGAAAACUAGAAAUAUGUGUGUGUCUGAUCCCUUCCAAGAUAUGAAAACUAGAAAUAUGUGUGUGUGUGUGUAUAAUGGACCUCAUAAGUGCUGACUGCUAGAAACUGGGCCCCACUAAGUGGGUAAAAAACUAGCAUAAUGACAAAAGCUUGGAAUUAUGUUUAUUUCAAGUGAUUUUUGUGAUUCUAGUUUUUUUUCUAUAUUGCCUGAUUUUUUUACGGAGGUCUAGUAUAAUUGGAAA